rfam:Myotis brandtii contig208295, whole genome shotgun sequence.
CGUGCACCAGUGGGGUCCCUUGGCCUGGCCUGUGUCCUCUCACAAUCUGGGACCCCUCGGGGGAUGUCGGAGAGCUAGUUUCAGCACGAUCCUGCAGGCCAGGCCGAGGGACCCCACUGGUGCAUG